GUAAACUGGCGUUCAACGCCAGUCCUCUGCCCAAUUCUGGCGUCCAGCGCCAGAAAAGGAUAAAAAACUGGAGUUGAACGCCCAAACUGGCACAAAAACUGGCGUUCAACUCCACAAAUGGCCUCUGCACGUGAAUUGCUUAAAGUCUCAGCCCCAGCACACACCAAGUGGGCCCCAGCACACCAAGUGGGCCCCAGAAGUGGAUCUCUGCAUCAUCCAUCAUAGUCCACUCAUAUUUUGUAACCCUAGGCUACUGGUUUAGUAUUUAAACAACUUUUAGAGACUUAUUUUGUAUCUCAUGAAAUUUCAUAUCUAAACUUUG
rnacentral:lncRNA from 1 species